rnacentral:rRNA from 1 species
GUGGGGAAUUUUGGACAAUGGGCGAAAGCCUGAUCCAGCAAUGCCGCGUGCAGGAUGAAGGCCCUCGGGUUGUAAACUGCUUUUGUACGGAACGAAAAGCCUGGGGCUAAUAUCCCCGGGUCAUGACGGUACCGUAAGAAUAAGCACCGGCUAACUACGUGCCAGCAGCCGCGGUAAUACGUAGGGUGCAAGCGUUAAUCGGAAUUACUGGGCGUAAAGCGUGCGCAGGCGGUUUUGUAAGACAGUGGUGAAAUCCCCGGGCUCAACCUGGGAACUGCCAUUGUGACUGCAAGGCUAGAGUGCGGCAGAGGGGGAUGGAAUUCCGCGUGUAGCAGUGAAAUGCGUAGAGAUGCGGAGGAACACCGAUGGCGAAGGCAGCCUCCUGGGAUAACACUGACGCUCAGGCACGAAAGCGUGGGGAGCAAACAGGAUUAGAUACCCGGGUAGUCC